rnacentral:rRNA from 1 species
UACAGAGGGUGCGAGCGUUGUCCGGAAUCACUGGGCGUAAAGGGCGCGUAGGCGGCGCGGUAAGCGUGCGGUGAAAGCCCGGGGCUCAACCCCGGGUCGGCCGUGCGGACUGCCGGGCUGGAGCACUGUAGAGGCAGGUGGAAUUCCGGGUGUAGCGGUGGAAUGCGUAGAGAUCCGGAAGAACACCGGUGGCGAAAGCGCUCUACUGGACCGCAACUGACACUCAGGGACGAAAGCUAGGGGAGCGAAUGGG